ACUCCUACGGGAGGCAGCAGUGGGGAAUAUUGCACAAUGGGCGCAAGCCUGAUGCAGCCAUGCCGCGUGUGUGAAGAAGGCCUUCGGGUUGUAAAGCACUUUCAGUCGUGAGGAAGGUAGUGUAGUUAAUAGCUGCAUUAUUUGUACGUUAGCGACAGAAGAAGCACCGGCUAACUCCGUGCCAGCAGCCGCGGUAAUACGGAGGGUGCGAGCGUUAAUCGGAAUUACUGGGCGUAAAGCGCAUGCAGGUGGUUGUUAAGUUCAGAUGUGAAAGCCCGGGGCUCAACCUCGGAAUAGCAUUUGAAACUGGCAGACUAGAGUACUGUAGAGGGGGUAGGAAUUUCGAGUGUAGCGGUGAAAUGCGUAGAGAUCUGAAGGAAUACCGGUGGCGAAGGCGGCCCCUGGACAGAUACUGACACUCAGAUGCGAAAGCGUGGGAGCAAACAGGAUUAGAUACCCCGUGUUAGACUGUCA
rnacentral:rRNA from 1 species